rnacentral:lncRNA from 1 species
CACUGACCUCAAAUCCAUCCAAAAUCUUGGAUCUCCAUUUCAAAUCCUAGAGCAAACUCUCUCUCUCUCUCUCUCUCGGCAUACCCUCUUGCUCUCCAUCAAAUCUCAAGCGCUAACUUGCAAAAUCCGUGACAAUCAUCCCUAAACCAUCUUCUCCUCUUCAUUUCCAUCCAUUCCUCAUUCCUUUCUAUCUUCUUGAUCAAUUUCUCUGCUCUCUUUAGGACAAUGGCUCCCAAAAUGAGGUUGCCAC